CGACCAUGCCCACCAAGAGACCAUUCAGGAAAAGGAGCAAAUGGAACAUAUUGAAGUGCGCCUACAUGAUGAUCACCUUCUUCUUUGUGUCCUACAACAAAGGAGACUGGUGCUACUGCCACUACUGUAGCACCGAAAUGGACAUCAGAAACGACCCCUGCUGUGCUUUCUAGCAACCCUGCUCCGUCUCGGCUCAACCUUUAUAGGUCCUCCGUCUCCCAGGUAGUCUCACCUCCCACGAAACCUCUCUGUGCCCUGGACGGCAAAUGUGGAGGGUAACGAACUGGGUCCUCCGAGGAAUAACACCUGCCUGCCCAGAGGCACGGUGGGACGGCGUCUCCGAGGGCCACACGGAGAUGGGCUGAGAGAGUAGCUGAGUGAGCACUGGCAGGGGUUCCCCCCAUAACCCUCCUUCCAGACCCUCUUCAACCCUUCCCCGCUGU